rnacentral:rRNA from 1 species
GACGAACGCUGGCGGCGUGCCUAAUACAUGCAAGUAGAACGCUGAAGAGAGGAGCUUGCUCUUCUUGGAUGAGUUGCGAACGGGUGAGUAACGCGUAGGUAACCUGCCUUGUAGCGGGGGAUAACUAUUGGAAACGAUAGCUAAUACCGCAUAACAAUGGAUGACACAUGUCAUUUAUUUGAAAGGGGCAAUUGCUCCACUACAAGAUGGACCUGCGUUGUAUUAGCUAGUAGGUGAGGUAAUGGCUCACCUAGGCGACGAUACAUAGCCGACCUGAGAGGGUGAUCGGCCACACUGGGACUGAGACACGGCCCAGACUCCUACGGGAGGCAGCAGUAGGGAAUCAUCGGCAAUGGGGGCAACCCUGACCGAGCAACGCCGCGGGAGUGAAGAAGGUUUUCGGAUCGUAAAGCUCUGUUGUAAGUCAAGAACGGGUGUGAGAGUGGAAAGUUCACACUGUGACGGUAGCUUACCAGAAAGGGACGGCUAACUACGUG